rnacentral:rRNA from 1 species
UACAGAGGUCUCAAGCGUUGUUCGGAUUCAUUGGGCGUAAAGGGUGCGUAGGCGGCGCGGUAAGUCGGGUGUGAAAUCUUGGAGCUUAACUCCGAAACUGCAUUCGAUACUGCCGUGCUUGAGGACUGGAGAGGAGACUGGAAUUCUCGGUGUAGCAGUGAAAUGCGUAGAUAUCGAGAGGAACACCAGUGGCGAAGGCGAGUCCCUGGACAGAUCCUGACGCUGAGGCACGAAAGCUAGGGGAGCAAACAGG